CUACAAUAUAUUAAUAGCAUAUUCGGAAUGCCUUGUAUGCUCGUAGAGAGAAUUUUCUAUGAACAUGCAGUGGUUGCUAUUAUUUUUUAGUUUACGAUCUUAAAUUGAGGAUGUGAUAGGUAUAUUGGAGAUAUCUAAAAGCAUUGUAACUUCAUGAGAAUAAUUUUUCUAUUGGUUCUCCAUGGCAUACUACGCAACUCUGCUAUUUUUUCCUUUUAAAAGAAAUAUCUAGGCAGAGCCUAAUAGCAAAACAAAGAAAACAAUUUUUUCAACAGCGGACGGUUGCAACAAUCAGUUUUAUUUCCCUUUUUUUUCCUUUGAUGGAAUUGUUCUAAGUUCCAAAAAUAUUGUUCAACAUAAAAGAUUGCAAAAGAGAGAGGAUGGAAGACAAAGCUAGCUACAAUUCCCAGCAUCUGAGGCACCAGGGAGAUCAACAGUAGCUUAUUUUGGAAUCCAUCUUGAGCAUUUGAUCCUGUGUGCAAUGGUGAAAAUGAUAUAAACCGAAACCUGGUCCGAGUUCUAGAAUGUUCUGCUGUUUAUCUCAAUCCACAGGCUUCAACAACUUAUGAUAACCAAAAUAUCCCAACCUUUUUUUUUUCUCUCUCUGAGAGAACACAACCUUAACAAAUUCUUUUACUCACCUGAACAAAUUCUUUUCUUUUCCUUUCCUUUUUUUUUAAGGGAACCCAACCUUAACAAUUUUUUUUGCUUACAAAGCCAUCCAAGAGGUCCAAUGCUACAGCAAUGAUAUGUGGCACCAAUAGAUCUAGAAAAGGUACGUGAAAGAACAAUUGCACGGGAAACAAGCACAAGAAGCAUCACAAUUUUUUUUAGGGCUUGUUGGAUGAUGGUCCAAAUUCUGGUCCAAAUUCUCAUGGAAUUUCAUGAGUUAGGCUAGUGCAAUUAGAAAAAAUCAUUCAAAGCUAGGCACAUGUUCCCAAAUACCUGGGAGCCUUUAUAGUGAACUGGUCCGAAUCUUAUAGGGAGAAAAAAAAUUGACUGAGAUUUUUGAGAACGUAAACCAAGGUAUCCUUUACCAAAAUAAUUUUAAAAAAAUUAUUUAUAAAAAUAAUAUAAUUUUUAACUUAUUUAUCAAACUAAUUCAAAUCCUAUAAAAUGCCAUUCCAAAUGGCAUUUUACAGUGUCUACAUCAUCACCCCUUUUUCACAUGGACGACG
rnacentral:lncRNA from 1 species